rnacentral:lncRNA from 1 species
GAGAUUCUGCAGGCUGUUGGUGGAGGGCCUGGGGCAGGCAGCUACGGGCCAGAGUGUGACUGGUGGGCACUGGGCGUGUUUGCCUACGAAAUGUUCUAUGGGCAGACACCCUUCUACGCCGACUCCACAGCCGAGACGUAUGCCAAAAUUGUGCAUUACAGGGAACACUUGUCUCUGCCUCGGGCAGACAUGGGUGUCCCUGAGGAAGCUCAGGACCUCAUUCGUGGGCUGCUGUGUCCUGCUGAGAUAAGGCUCGGUAGAGGUGGGGCAGGUGACUUCCAGAAGCAUCCUUUCUUCUUUGGCCUUGAUUGGGAGGGUCUCCGGGACAGCGUGCCCCCCUUCACACCAGACUUCGAGGGUGCCACAGACACAUGCAAUUUUGAUGUGGUGGAGGACCGGCUCACUGCCAUGGAGAGACAAUCAGGUCACGGACCCCACCCCUAUGGAACUAGAGGCCCUGCAGUUGCCUGUGUCAGACUUGCAAGGGCUUGACUUGCCGCCCCCCGUGUCCCCACCGGAUCAAGCGGCUGAAGAGGCUGACCCCGCGGCUGUCCCUGUCCCUCCGGCUGAGACAGAGACCAUGGUGACGCUGCGGGAGCUCCAGGAAGCCUUGGAAGAAGAGGUUCUCACCCGGCAGAGCCUGAGCCGCGAGCUGGAGGCCAUCCGUACCGCUAACCAGAACUUCUCCAGCCAACUACAGGAGGCCGAGGUCCGGAACCGAGACCUGGAGGCGCAUGUUCGGCAGCUACAGGAGCGGAUGGAGAUGCUGCAGGCCCCAGGAGCUGCAGCUGUCACGGGGGUCCCCAGUCCCCGGGCCACGGAUCCACCUUCCCAUAUGGCCCCCCGGCCGUGGCUGUGGGCCAGUGCCCGCUGGUGGGGCCAGGCCCCAUGCACCGCCGUCACCUGCUGUUCCCUGCCAGGGUCCCUAGGCCUGGCCUAUCCGAGGCGCAUUGCCUGCUCCUGUUCGCCGCUGCUCUGGCUGCUGCCGCCACACUGGGCUGCACUGGGUUGGUGGCCUAUACCGGCCGUCUCACCCCAGUCUGGUGUUUCUCGGGAGCCACCUUCGCCCCCUGAACCCUAAGACUCCAAGCCAUUUUUCAUUUAGGCCUCCUAGGAAGGUCGAGUGACCAGAGAAAGACCCAGAGCCUCUCUGUGCCCAUAUUCACCCCCGACCCCCCACUGCUCUGCUCCACUCCACACUUCUGUGAGCCUGGGUCCCUAUCCUGCUCCGCUCCUGUGAUCCGGGCCCGCCCCCUGGCGGCUGGGGAGGGAGGAAG